AAAAAGGUAACCACUGCUGGAGGCUGAGCAUCACAUGGCGAUGAACAACAGCGACGGCGGCUCAAAGAACAUGACCACUGUAUCUCAUCACUAUUUCCGAGAUUCAAAUGCUUCCGAAGAUUCUACAUCUAUUUCUAUCUCUAUCAUCGAGAACAUAAAAGAAGAAUACGGAUUGUUUGUGUGGCCCUGUAGUCUUAUUCUAGCUGAAUAUGUCUGGCAGCAGCGCUUUCGCUUCGUUGGGAAACGUGUCAUUGAGCUUGGGGCUGGAACAUCACUGCCUGGUUUAGUUGCAGCUAAAGUAGGCGCCCAUGUCGUUCUUACCGAUCAAUCUGAUAGACUUGAGGUUCUGGACAACAUGAGAAAAGUAUGUGAGCUAAAUGAUGUCAAGUGUGAGGUAAUGGGGCUUACCUGGGGUGUAUGGGACGAAUCUAUCUUCAGUUUACUACCACAAGUGAUACUUGGAGCCGAUGUGUUGUAUGACUCAUGUGCUUUCGACAAUCUCUUUGCCACCGUCAAAUUCCUUCUUGAGAAUUCACCUGGCUCGGUUUUCAUCACAAGCUAUCACAAUAGAAGUGGGCAUCACCUCAUAGAAUUCUUACUGGUGAAAUGGAAACUGAAGUGUGUGAAGCUUCUUGAUGGAUUUUCAUUCCUGCCAUCAUGGAAGGCUUCUGGGUUGAGUGGUAACAUUCAAUUGGUAGAAAUUGGUCCAACUGAUGUCGCAAAGAAUUGAAGAUGCUCUUCAAAAUUUGAGAAAAUGAAUUAUUGCUUCUGGCUACUACUGACAAAUGAUACAAGUGUGGAUUCGGACAGAUAGAAGGUGACCAAUUUAUUUCUUUCUAUUCAUAAUAUUGGUAGUACUUAGGAUCGUGGAUUAGGUUUUUAUUGAUUUGGCAACUCAUGCUUUUAGACGGAUUAUAAUAUAUUAUGAAAAUCUUUUAUUACUUAUGUGAUGUUAUAUGCACUGAUAUUGUGUCGUGUUUUGCAAGAUGUUAUG